rnacentral:rRNA from 1 species
UACAGAGGGUGCAAGCGUUAAUCGGAUUUACUGGGCGUAAAGCGUGAGUAGGUGGCUCGCUAAGUCGAUUGUGAAAGCCCUGGGCUCAACCUGGGAAUUGCAGUCGAUACUGGCGAGCUAGAGUUCGGUAGAGGGUGACGGAAUUCCCGGUGUAGCGGUGAAAUGCGUAGAUAUCGGGAGGAACAUCGAUGGCGAAGGCAAUCACCUGGGCCUGAACUGACACUGAGACACGAAAGCGUGGGUAGCAAACAGG